CUGGAGCCCUCCCUGAGCUUGCAACCCUGUGUAGGUGGCUGACGGUGCUUUCAAUAGAGGAAAGGGUUGGGACUUUACCAUUUUCACAAGGGUUCAGUGAAGAAGGCAGAGGGGACGCAGGUUCGAUCCCUGGUCGGGGAACUAGGAUCCCACAUGCCACGGGACAACUAAGCUGAGCCGCAACUCCUGAGCCCACGCACUCUGGAGGCCACGCGCCACACCUAGAGAGAAGCCUGAGCACCAAGCUAGCGAGGAACCUGCGCGCCGCAAUGAAGAGCCUGGGUGCUGCAAUGAAAGAUCCCGCAUGCUGCAACUAAGACCCUGACGCAGCCAAAAAAUAAAUAAACUAAUUAAUUUUUUUAAAAAA